rnacentral:rRNA from 1 species
GAUGACCGCUGGCGGCGUGCCUAAUACAUGCAAGUCGAGCGAACAGACGAGGAGCUUGCUCCUCUGACGUUAGCGGCGGACGGGUGAGUAACACGUGGAUAACCUACCUAUAAGACUGGGAUAACUUCGGGAAACCGGAGCUAAUACCGGAUAAUAUAUUGAACCGCAUGGUUCAAUAGUGAAAGUCGGUUUUGCUGUCACUUAUAGAUGGAUCCGCGCCGCAUUAGCUAGUUGGUAAGGUAACGGCUUACCAAGGCAACGAUGCGUAGCCGACCUGAGAGGGUGAUCGGCCACACUGGAACUGAGACACGGUCCAGACUCCUACGGGAGGCAGCAGUAGGGAAUCUUCCGCAAUGGGCGAAAGCCUGACGGAGCAACGCCGCGUGAGUGAUGAAGGUCUUCGGAUCGUAAAACUCUGUUAUUAGGGAAGAACAAAUGUGUAAGUAACUAUGCACGUCUUGACGGUACCUAAUCAGAAAGCCACGGCUAACUACGUG